CUCCUCCGUUCAGCUUCUCAAAAUGAAGUUUUCUGUUCAUUUCCUGGGGCUGCUAUUGCUCUGGAUCCCUGGAUCCAGUGGAGACAUUGUGAUGACCCAGACUCCACUCACCCUGUCUGUCAUCCCCGGAGAGCCAGCCUCCAUCUCCUGCAGGUCUAACCAGAGCAUCUUACAUAGUGAUGGAAAAACCUAUUUGAAAUGGUACCAGCAGAAGCCAGGCCAGUCUCCACAGCUCCUGAUCUAUGAGGUUUCUAACAGAUUCUCUGAAGCCCCAGACAGGUUCAGUGGCAGUGGGUCAGAGACAGAUUUCACACUGAAAAUCAGCAGGGUGGAGGUUGAGGAUGCUGGAGUUUAUUACUGCAUGCAAGGUACACAAAGGCCUCACACAGUGGUACAGCCCUGAACAUAAACGCCUCUCUAUCGGGGCGGCCCAGCUGCCUUCUUUGUCACUCAUCUGUGGAGAAGCACGGCAGAUUCUCUGAACCUUACAAGAGGUAUGCAUUAGAGAACUCAGGAGAAAAUUUUCCUAGGAGGCCUCUGGCCCCUGAAUGUGUGGGCUCCUCCUCAGGCACUAUGUGCUUAGGCCCUGCCAGUGCAAACAGCUGUGUUAGGAUGUUAAUAGCUGUCUUU